CCGGCGAUGUCCGAAUGGGGAAACCCAGUGCAAUUCGUUGCACUAUCGUUAACUGAAUACAUAGGUUAACGAGGCGAACCGGGGGAACUGAAACAUCUAAGUACCCCGAGGAAAAGAAAUCAACCGAGAUUCCCCCAGUAGCGGCGAGCGAACGGGGAGCAGCCCAGAGUCUGAAUCAGCUUGUGUGUUAGUGGAACGGUCUGGAAAGUCCGACGGUACAGGGUGAUAGUCCCGUACACCAAAAUGCACAGGCUGUGAACUCGAAGAGUAGGGCGGGACACGUGGUAUCCUGUCUGAAUAUGGGGGGACCAUCCUCCAAGGCUAAAUACUCCUGACUGACCGAUAGUGAACCAGUACCGUGAGGGAAAGGCGAAAAGAACCCCGGCGAGGGGAGUGAAAAAGAACCUGAAACCGUGUACGUACAAGCAGUGGGAGCACCUUCGGGUGUGACUGCGUACCUUUUGUAUAAUGGGUCAGCGACUUAUAUUCUGUAGCAAGGUUAACCGUAUAGGGGAGCCGCAGGGAAACCGAGUCUUAACUGGGCGUUAAGUUGCAGGGUAUAGACCCGAAACCCGGUGAUCUAGCCAUGGGCAGGUUGAAGGUUGGGUAACACUAACUGGAGGACCGAACCGACUAAUGUUGAAAAAUUAGCGGAUGACUUGUGGCUGGGGGUGAAAGGCCAAUCAAACCGGGAGAUAGCUGGUUCUCCCCGAAAGCUAUUUAGGUAGCGCCUCGUGAAUUCAUCUUCGGGGGUAGAGCACUGUUUCGGCUAGGGGGUCAUCCCGACUUACCAACCCGAUGCAAACUACGAAUACCGAAGAAUGUUAUCACGGGAGACACACGGCGGGUGCUAACGUCCGUCGUGAAGAGGGAAACAACCCAGACCGCCAGCUAAGGUCCCAAAGUCAUGGUUAAGUGGGAAACGAUGUGGGAAGGCACAGACAGCCAGGAUGUUGGCUUAGAAGCAGCCAUCAUUUAAAGAAAGCGUAAUAGCUCACUGGUCGAGUCGGCCUGCGCGGAAGAUGUAACGGGGCUAAACCAUGCACCGAAGCUGCGGCAGCGACACUAUGUGUUGUUGGGUAGGGGAGCGUUCUGUAAGCCUGCGAAGGUGACCUGUGAGGGUUGCUGGAGGUAUCAGAAGUGCGAAUGCUGACAUAAGUAACGAUAAAGCGGGUGAAAAGCCCGCUCGCCGGAAGACCAAGGGUUCCUGUCCAACGUUAAUCGGGGCAGGGUGAGUCGACCCCUAAGGCGAGGCCGAAAGGCGUAGUCGAUGGGAAACAGGUUAAUAUUCCUGUACUUGGUGUUACUGCGAAGGGGGGACGGAGAAGGCUAUGUUAGCCGGGCGACGGUUGUCCCGGUUUAAGCAUGUAGG
rnacentral:rRNA from 1 species